CCCCAUUGGGUGCGCGUGGCAGGCGGAACCUCCACCCGGACACCCAGGCGCCGACCCCGUGCUAAGGGGCGCGGGCGGGGCAGGUCUGCAGGAGGAGGACCGGCCGGAGGGCAACGCCGGAGGGAAAGCGCGAAGACCUGACCCUGCGGACUGCAGUAAUUCAUUUUCUCAUACUUUAGUUUCCAAAUGCGCACCCCAAAAUCAGUGUACGUAGAAGGGGACACUUCCGUGCUGGCGCAAGGCUUGACCGCUAAAGGACCCCAAAGAAACUGCUAGAAUUUCUUGUCUGAAAAUAUCAGCACCUCUUCAAUACAUACCAGCUCAGGCGUUUAUAAUGAGAGUGGUUAUUGCUGAGUUUACACUCAUGAUUCGUUUCUAGAAAGAUCCUCGCUGCCUUUCUCCACAGAUGGGAAUUGAGACCCAGGAGCCUCGGGAAAGCGGAAAAGGAAAGCUCCAAAUGUAUUAAUAAUCUGUGAACCUGGAAGCCGUGUUUAGUUCCACUGCACUGUGCUAAGGGGACUGUCAGGAGUGGGGCCGGGUUGAACUGUAUUUCCUCCUUCAAGAGGCAGAGUCUGUGUAUGACAGGAAGGAAAUGUCACAGUUCCUGACACCCGGCUCUUUUCAGAUCCCAGGGACGAGCAGACCAAGAGGAUGGAUCAUCAUACGUGGCCAGACAGUUCGCGUCCACACAGCGCAAGCUGAAGGGGAAUACCAGCCAUCCAGUUCAAGACGAUUGGAAAGCGGAAAACGUGUGCAACGCGGAGGACAAACGGAGCUCCUCCUUCGUUUUCCCCACUCAGAGCGCGGAAGGAGGAAUGUCACAGGGAGAAGUAGGCUUUAAAGAGUAAUUUCACAAACCGUCAAUGAACAUUUGAAACAGGUGCGCAACUCAAGAGACGGUAAAUGAAAAGUUAACACAAGAAAGAUAACUCACCUUUUACGGAUCAAUUGUCUAAAAUUACAAAGAUUGAUAAAAUAUCCGUGUUGGCAGUGACGUGUUUCCGACGUACAACUCUUUAAUACACAACUGAAGGCAGGCUGAUACGGACACAGCCUUUCUGGACAGAAAUGCUGCCGGGACAGCAGCCAGCCGUGAGCCCUGAGCAUUGCUGCACUUCCUUACUGGCCAGAAUGGACUGUGAGACGUCUCCAUCUCCUGAUGCUAAGUGCUUUCUGCAGCUGCGCACGCAGGCAGCUAGUAGGCCAAGGCUCCCGCGGAGUGAGUACGCCGUCACUGCUCUUCUCUGGGCUGGAAGGGGACUGGCUUGUGUGCUGCUUACCACAGUGUUGGCCCCGUGCUGAAAAAGUGCUGGUCCCUCGGCCCUUUGCAGAUGCUGGGGUCAUCUGGCCGGCCCUGUAACCCUGCUGGAAAUGGGGCUCCAAGAACUGGUGCUACCAUGCUGACACUCUGGCUACUGCUUUUGCUGUGGGUAGUAAGGUCUUGUAGCUCUCAUCCGUGAGUCUUGUGUCUCGGGCAGCUUCCACAAAAGUGCGGCAAGCUGACUUGUUAGUUUGCAAUACGGCGACAAUCUCAGACCCCUCCCAGUUCUAGAGGCGCCAAAAUUUAAAAGACAAGUAAACUGGCUGUCAAGAUCUAAGAAGUCUAAGAAAUAAAAAGUGAACAUUUGGUGGGAAUGCAAGCUGGUGCAGCCACUCUGGAAAAUGUUAUGGAGGUUCCUCAAAAAACUAAAAAUAGAACUACCUUACGACCAGCAAUUGCACUACUAGGCAUUUAUCCACGGGAUACAGGUGUGCUGUUUCAAAGGGACACAGGAACCCCCAUGUUUAUAGCAGCACUAUCAACAGUAGCCAUAGUAUGGAAAGAGCCCAAAUGUCCGUCGACGGAUGAAUGGAUAAAGAAGAUGUGAUAUCAGAUAUAUAUGCCGUGGCGUAUUACUCGGCAAUCAAAAAGAAUGAGAUCUUGCCAUCUGCAACUACGUGGAUGGAACUAGAGGGUAUUAUGCUAAGUGAAAUUAGUCAGAGAAAGACAAAUACCAUAUGACUUCACUCAUAUGAAGACUUUAAGAGACAAAACAGAUGAACAUAAGGGAAGGGAAACAAAAGUAAUAUAAAAACAGGGAGGGGGACAAAGCAUAAGAGACUCAUAAAUAUGGAGAACAAACUGAGGGUUACUGGAGGGGGUGUGGGAGGGGGGAUGGGCUAAAUGGGUAAGGGGCACUAUGGAAUCUACUCCUGAAAUCAUUGUUGCACUAUAUGCUAACUAAUUUGGAUGUAAAUUAAAAAAUAAAUUAAAAAAAUAAAAGACAAAAAAAGAAAAAAGAAACCGAGGGCAAAAAGGUACCUAAAAGUAGAGCCUGAUCAAACUUGAAAUAUGUAUAUUUUUAUAUAUUUGAAAAAUAUAUAUUCAUUCUAAUUUUCUUGUAAUCCUUUUUUGAUCCAUGGAGUACUUAGAAGUAUGUCAAUUAAUUUCCAAUAUUUGAGGAUUUUCUAGAUCCCUUAUUGUUAUGGACUUCUAAUUUAAUUCCAUCGUGUUAAGAGAACACUCUAUAUGGCUUCUAUAUGGCUUCAAACCUUAUAAAUUUAUUAUGGCUUGUUAUAUGCCAAGAAUAUUGUCUAUAUUAGUAAACAUGCCACGUGCACUUGUAAAGAAUGUUUAUUCUUCAGUUUUAGGGUGUAAUGUAUAAAUAUCAACAUCAAGAUAGUUGGUAAUGUUUUUAGAUUUUCUAUGACUUUAUUGAUCUUUGGACUAAUAUCAAUUAAAGAGAGGUUUUUAAGUGUCAAAAAAAAAGUAAAUAUUUGGAUCAUCUUUUCUGUAUUCUAAAACAACCCAAAAACUCCUAUCAAUGAUGGAAAACUAGGAUACUUCCAGAAGAUAGCCUCAGAUCCCAAGGACUGACUUUGAGAUAGAGACAGGUGCAAACCUCCUUGAUCACAGAAUGCUUGAAGGAAAAAGAAGUGCCUGCCACAGCCCCAGUCCUCCAGUCUAAAGGAAGCAGA